AGAGAAGGCUGGUCUGAGAUAUGGCAGGAGUGGCAGGGGUUGAGGCUGGAAAGGCAGACUGGGCCUAGAUCUUACCGACCUUAUAAGCCACGGUAUGGACAGGCAGGCAGCACCGAGCCAUAAACGAAAUCCAGCUUUUAAAUCCAGCGCUUUUAAAAAACUUUGACCUUACCCAAGGGGGUGUCUUUUUAUGUUAGAUCUGCCCAAAGGAGGGGCUUUUUAUAAUCCAUUUUCCUGGAGAUGACCCCUGCUUCUAAUUCGAACAGAAGGGAAGUGUUUUCUGCAACUUGGGUUUUAUGCUUAGUGAAAUGAGAAGCCAGUGAAAAGUUUGAGGCCAGCCACGGACAAGAUCCGGCUUAUGUUUUAAGAAUAUACUUAGGCAACAGUAUGGAAAAUAACUGUAUGGAGACAAGGGUAGAAUAAUAAAAAUAAUGAUGGCAAUCACAGCUAAUAGAAAUAUAAUAAAUAGAACAAUGACAAGAAGGAACCUUGCUGUUUUUUCUGUUCUUUUUUCUUUUUUAGAGACAGGGUCUCGCUCUGCCGCCCAGGCUGGAGUGCAGUGGUGCGAUCAUAGCUCACUAUAGCCUCAACCUCCUAGGCUCAAGCAACCCUCCCACCUCAGCCUCCCGAAGCUCUGGGAUUAUAGACAUGAGCCACCACUCCCGGCCCCCAUCCUGGCUCCAAUCCUGGCUAACUGUAUAUUUAAUCUUACUUUAAAACAAAUUCAGGCUGGGCACAGUUGAUUUCUAAUAGAUUCACUACUUAACAAAACUAGGCACUUAAACUGUAUUCUUGUAGACUGGUAAUUUUACAGGGGACUUGUAGCCAUUGUUUCAAAACAAACUCCAAAAUAUGCAAAUUAUACAUAGAAAAUGUUUUUAUGGGCCAGGCACAGUGGCUGUUAUAAGUGUUUCACAUUUGAAGAUCGAAAGAUCUACAAAUAGAUUGUGUGUAUUUAUACACACUAUUUCGCACAUCUUGCUUUUUAAAAACUUUGUGAUUUUUAAAAAAUGGCCACAUACCACUGAACUGUACACCUAAAAAUGGUGAAGAUGGUAAAUAUUAUAUGUAUUUUGCCACAAUAAAACCAAUUUUUUUUUAAUGGCCACAAAUUCUUAUGCUUCUUCCACUAUGAUGUGGGGGGCUAUGCCUCCUCCCCUUGAUUCUGGGUGGGCUUUGACUAUCUCAACUGAGUAUGGCAGAAGUUCUGCUGUGUGAUUUAAAGUUUUGCAUCAUUUUAGCCAGGCGCACUGGCUCACACCUAUAAUCCCAGGGCUUUGGGAGGCUGAAGUCGGGGUGGAUCACUUCAGGUCCGCAGUUUGAAACCAGCCUGGCCAACAUGGUGAAACCCUGUCUCUACUGAAAAUACAAAACUUAGCUGGGUAUGGUGGCGCAUGCCUGUAAUCCCAGCUACUCGGGAGGCUGAGGCAGGACAAUCGCUUGAACCUGGGAGGUGGAGGUUGCAGUGAGCUGAGAUCAUCCCACUGCAUUCCAGCCUGGGUGACAGAGCAAGACUCUGUCUAAAAAUAAAUAAAUAAAUAAAUAAAUAAAGUUGUGCCUCAUUUUAUAUAUAAGUGCUCUUUGCAACCAUCAUGCAUCUUUUUGUUUAUUUUUCUUUUGGGGCUGAGCAUCAUGCCUCUUGACUUUUUUUUUUUUUUUUUUUUGAGAUGGAGUUUCACUUUGUUGCCCAGGCUGGAGUGCAAUGGUGCAAUCUCAGCUCACUGCAACCUCCGCCUCCCAGGUUCAAGUGAUUCUCCUGCCUUAGCCUCCGAGUAGCUGGGAUUAUAGGUGCGCCACCACGUCCGGCUAAUUUUGUAUUUUAACUGAGUUUCACCAUGUUGGCCAGGCAUUAAAAAAAUCAGGUUUUAUUCUGCAAACUGUUGGUGGCAUGUUAAAUGUUUUGUUUUAGUGGUAUCUGGAAGACUGGUUGGGGUUUCUGGAUGGGCCAAGAACAUGUUUUCCUCAUUUAAACAUAGGCUAGGCACGGUGGCUCACGUCUGUAAUCCCAGCACUUUGGGAGGCUGAGGCGGACAGAUGGCUUGAACUCAGGAGUUCAAGAUGAGCCUGGGCAACGUGGUGAAAUGCCGUUUCUACUAAAAUACAAAAAUUAGCCAGGCAUGGUGGUGUGUUUGUAAUCCCAGCUACUUGAGAUGCUGAGGCACGAGAAGCACUUGAACCCAGAAGGCGGAGGUUGCAGUGAGCCAAAAUUUUGCCACUGUACUCAGCCUGGGUGAAGGAGAUUCUGUCUCAAAAAUAAAUAAAUAAAUGAUAUGUAAAUAAAUAAAUAAAAAUAAAAUCAUAGACAGCUACUCAGGAGGCUGAGGUGGGAGGACUGCUUGAGCUCAGGAGUUCAAGGCCAGCUUGGGCAACAUAGUGAGACUCCGUCUACAUUAAGUCAAUCAAUCAAGGCAGGUACUUCCAUUAUCUAAAUUUUGUCUUCCAACACAUUUUAGGGGGGCUAAUAAAGGAUGCCAGUCUGUCCAGAAACUUGUAUAGAAGGACUGAGUACUUCCUCAUUCUGUAUAUGGCCACAUGCAGUUAGCCCAUUCCCUUCUUUAAAAAAAUUUUUUUCUUUGUAGAGAUGAGGUCUUACUAUGUUGUCCAGACUGGUUUCAAACUCCUGGCCUCAAGUGAUCCUUCCACCUUGGCCUCCCAAAGUCCUAUGGUAACAGGUGUGAGCCAUCAUGCCAGGCCUACAUUCCCCUCCUGAUGAGUACUUUGGUUGUUUCCAAACGUUUCCUCCGAGAAUAAUGGCAUAGUGAGUAACUUACAAGUGUGUGUUCCUAGAAGUGGAAUAGUUGGGUCAAAAGGUAUGCAUAUUUGUAAUUUUGAAGAGAUUGUCAAAUUGUCCUCCAAAGAACUUAUACAAAUUUAAAUUUCCACCAAGAUAUGAGAAUAAAUUUUCUGAUAAUUUUGUCCAGUUAUCAAACUUUAAUUUUUGCCAUUCUGGCAAGUAAAAAAUGGAAUCUAAGGUAGUUUUAAUUUGCAUUUUUAUUAGCAUUAGGGAGGUUUUCUUUUCACAUGUUCCAAAGCCCUUUGGGCCAUGCACAGUGGUUCACAUCUCUAAUCCCAGCAACUCAGGAAGAUUGCCUGAGGCCAGGAGUUUGAGACCAGCCUGGGCAGCAUACCAAGGUCCUAGCUCUACAAAAAAAAAAAAAAAAAUUGGCUGAGUGUGGUGACAUGCACCUGUAUGGUCCCAGCUACUCAAGAGGCUGAGGCAACAGGAUUGCUUGAGCUCAGGAGUUUGAGGCUGCAGUGAGCUAUGAUUGCUUCACUGCACUCCAGCCUGGGUGAUAGAGCAAGACUCCAUCUCUAGUGGGGAGGAAAAAAGCCCUUUGUAUUUUUUUCUAUGGUGUAUUUAUUUGUAUUAUUAUUUUUAUUUUGAGACAGGGGUUCACUGUCACCCAGGCUGGAGUGCAGUGGCACAAUCUUGGCUCACUGCAAUCUCUGCCUCCUGGCCUCAAGCCAUCCUCCCACUUCAGCCUCCCAAGUAGCUGUGACUUCAGGCGCACACCACCAUGCCAGGUCAAUUUUUUUGUUGUUGUUUUUUAGUUUUUAGUAGAGACAAGGUUUCACUAUGUUGCCCAGUCUGGUCUCGAACUCCUGGGCUUAAGCAAUCCGCUAACUUAGUCCUCCCUAAGUGCUGGGAUUACAGGUAUGAGCCACCAUGCCCAGCCCAGCUAUUUUUUUUUUUUUUUUGAGAUGG
rnacentral:lncRNA from 1 species